rnacentral:rRNA from 1 species
GUGGGGAAUAUUGCACAAUGGGGGAAACCCUGAUGCAGCAACGCCGCGUGAGUGAUGAAGGCCUUCGGGUUGUAAAGCUCUGUCUUUGGGGACGAUAAUGACGGUACCCAAGGAGGAAGCCACGGCUAACUACGUGCCAGCAGCCGCGGUAAUACGUAGGUGGCAAGCGUUGUCCGGAUUUACUGGGCGUAAAGGGAGCGUAGGUGGAUAUUUAAGUGGGAUGUGAAAUCCCCGGGCUUAACCUGGGGGCUGCAUUCCAAACUGGAUGUCUAGAGUGCAGGAGAGGAGAGUGGAAUUCCUAGUGUAGCGGUGAAAUGCGUAGAUAUAUGGAGGAACACCGGUGGCGAAAGCGGCUCUCUGGCCUGUAACUGACACUGAGGCUCGAAAGCGUGGGGAGCAAACAGGAUUAGAUACCCGGGUAGUCC